GACGAACGCUGGCGGCGUGCUUAACACAUGCAAGUCGAACGGAAAGGCCCUGCUUUUGUGGGGUGCUCGAGUGGCGAACGGGUGAGUAACACGUGAGUAACCUGCCCUUGACUUUGGGAUAACUUCAGGAAACUGGGGCUAAUACCGGAUAGGAGCUCCUGCUGCAUGGUGGGGGUUGGAAAGUUUCGGCGGUUGGGGAUGGACUCGCGGCUUAUCAGCUUGUUGGUGGGGUAGUGGCUACCAAGGCUUUGACGGGUAGCCGGCCUGAGAGGGUGACCGGCCACAUGGGGACUGAGAUACGGCCCAGACUCCUACGGGAGGCAACAGUGGGGAAUAUUGCACAAUGGGCGGAAGCCUGAUGCAGCAACGCCGCGUGCGGGAUGACGGCCUUCGGGUUGUAAACCGCUUUCGCCUGUGACGAAGCGUGAGUGACGGUAAUGGGUAAAGAAGCACCGGCUAACUACGU
rnacentral:rRNA from 1 species